rnacentral:rRNA from 1 species
GAUGAACGCUGGCGGCGUGCCUAAUACAUGCAAGUCGAGCGAACAGACGAGGAGCUUGCUCCUCUGACGUUAGCGGCGGACGGGUGAGUAACACGUGGAUAACCUACCUAUAAGACUGGGAUAACUUCGGGAAACCGGAGCUAAUACCGGAUAAUAUAUUGAACCGCAUGGUUCAAUAGUGAAAGACGGUUUUGCUGUCACUUAUAGAUGGAUCCGCGCCGCAUUAGCUAGUUGGUAAGGUAACGGCUUACCAAGGCAACGAUGCGUAGCCGACCUGAGAGGGUGGUCGGCCACACUGGAACUGAGCCACGGUCCAGACUCCUACGGGAGGCAGCAGUAGGCAAUCUUCCGCAAUGGGCGAGAGCCUGACGGAGCAACGCCGCGUGAGUGAUGAAGGUCUUCGGAUCGUAAAACUCUGUUAUUAGGGAAGAACAAAUGUGUAAGUAACUAUGCACGUCUUGACGGUACCUAAUCAGAAAGCCACGGCUAACUACGUG